rnacentral:lncRNA from 1 species
UAUAAGAGUCUUGCAAGCCUCAAUAACUGCCCUGCAUUCGAUCUAGAGGUGGCCCUAGCAACGCCUCCUAGAAGUGAGAAGGUUUGAUCACGGGUUAACAUAAACAAAAGUUCCAAUCCGUUAAUAAUCCGAAGAAGUCGACUCAAAUAGCCUUCUUCUCUCAUUAGCAUGACUUUGAUUUAGAUUAAACGGAAUUCUGGUUUAGUUAUAAAUUUUAGUUAUUAGUCUGGUUAUUAAUUUGUUUUAGUGAAGCUUUCUGUUUGUGAUGACCAUUGUGAAGCCCAGUGCGACGUAAAUAAGCAAUUACCCAGUUUGUCAUACAUAUUUGGAUUAGAUAUUUUGAUUUUAUAUCAUUGAACCAUGUCUUACCAUUGUUGAGCAAUAAACUGUGAAGGGAACUAUGAAAAUCAUCCAAAUGUUGCCGUAUUUAAUUUCACAAACGAGGAACAACAAAGAUAUUGGUUACAAGACUGUCACAGAAGGAUUUAAUAAUAGCUAAGAAUUCGCCAGUUACAGUUUACAUCACCUCCCUAAAUCUAGAGAGCUUCCAAGAAGCAACAUUUUUGGUGUCGAAGAUAACCUCGGUGAUCAAAACUAUUUAGCAGAAGGUGGGCAUGCAAGACAAUUCCGAAAUCGUGAUGACAUAAGUCUGGAGAUCUGGGCAGAUUUUUGAGAUGCAUGCUCUAUUAAUUUUACUGGGAAGAAAAACUGACCCUUUGCUCAUAAAGCAAUAUAUCCUGAGCUAUAUUUAUAAUGAAAAGAAACUUAUCAAUUUCUUGAGUCAGGGAUUAGUAAUUUUAAUGUCUACUUUCAAAGAUUUGGCUGUUGUUAAUAGCUGAGCGGUACUAGCCUUUUUAAAUUCCACACCCCUAUAAAUAUUCACCAAUUUUUAGAAUCAUAUGCAUGUUUACACUAUAUUUAGAUAAGCAGAUAAACAGUUUAAAAAAUUUGAUGUGAUAAUGCUUGUAUGUGCAACAAAAUUUUAAAAUAUGCAAAGGUAAAACUGGAAAGUAGAAGUGCUUUUCGGUUAGAGGAACUCAAAGGAAAAAGGAAGAAAAUGGAGAAGAAAGCUGAGAUCAUGGAGAGAUCAGCUGAUGUCCAAGCUGCAGUUUUUAAAUUACUCCCUUCCAAAAAUACGCGAGAACUUUUAAUAACUCUAUGGAAAAUAUAAAGAAGAUCAAUUUUAGAUGUAGAAAUUUGUUUCUAACGUGUCAAAAAAAAUUCACACUCACAAGAGAAUACCUAUUAUUUAUCAAGUCUAAAAGCUCUUUUAAGAUAGUAACAAUGAAAAUAUUUUUACAGAGUCGCACUGCUAAAUACAAAAGAGAAAAAAAAAUAGAGAGAGUGCAAAGAAAUUAUUACGUGUUCUUAUUAUGAGUUAUAUAGCAUGAGUUCAUGUUCAAGUACUGUUUGUUAGGGGGAGCCUAGCUCUACGUGAGCCUCCGAGUUGAAUACUGAAGUGCUAAAUACUUGCUUAAACUUCGUUUCCGGCUGUUUCAUUGUUUUUCAUUUUUCUUUACUCUCGCCAUUGAAAAUUCAAAAAAAGAAUUGUUCAAGUACUUUAUUUCGAAAGUUAUUCUUUAAAAUUAAAACCUCUGAAUUGUUUUAGUUUGUUUAAUGAAACUUAGAAUUGCCUUAUUUUCUUAUUUUUUGCAAUCAUAAUAAAGAUUUACAUUUACGUUUCUUAUUCAUAAAUUUAACGUGACAAAAAAGAAAAGAAAAUCUCUCAAAUUUCGCAAAAAUUACUUAAUGCACUAGAUAUAAGUAAUAAUGCGAUUUUAUUUAUUUCGAAAAAAAUUUCUCUAAACUGUUUUUUUCUAAUCAUUAAUAUUACUUGCACUAUACAUUUCAAUGGAAUCACGCUGAAGGAAAUUAAAGAAAAAUGUCUCAUUCUUGGCCAGAUAAGUUUAAAUACUUAAGUAAAUCGACCAGUUGUAAAACUCGUUAGUUGCUGCUAAAAAAAAUUUUAAGUAAGAAAUAAAAACUAUGUCUUUAAUUAA